GCGUCAGUCUCGCCCUAUUGUCACACACCAACGCCCUAUUGCGUCAGUCUCGCCCUAUUGCCCUGGAUAUGCAGAGCAAGGAAGAAGAGGAGGAGGAGGCUGAGAAGGGAUGCUCCGCUAGAGAUGCUCAGCAACAAGGCAAAGGAAGGAAGACCAACAACAACAACAACAACAACAGGAGGAAGUUGUUGGAAGUGCAGCAAGCCAUUUUGGCCAACAUGUCUCAAGCUCAUCAAGAUUUCAGGGACGAGCUGGUUGGAUCCGGAGAUCGUGUUCAAAUUGGCAUGUGAGGAACAAAUGCUUUGGCAAUGUGGUUUGAUUUAUGGAACACCUUUGAUUCAAAGGGAGAUCAACUCAUCACUUCUGAAGGGAUAUUGGAAAGGGAUUCCUCUUUCUUCCCCAGAAACUUGAAUGCACAGCAUAUAGAUGAUGUCCAUCACAAGACAAACAUAUUGAAGUAUACUAAUCUCAAGUGGUAUGGUUCAACAAUGGCAAUAAGCCAUAACAUUUCAUUGGAUGGGUCUCUUUAGGCUUAUGGAAGAUAAUAUUUUUAUUUGUAGAAGUUAUUAAAUAAGGUAAGUCAAUUGAAAUUAAUACUGCAAGGAGAAAUAGAAGAAGACAAAAGAAACUUUAUUUGUAAAUAAUAAAAUGAGUUUACAAGUUCUUUUUAUCAACUGUUUGUGUAGUAGUUUGUAGAACACUUUUAAAACCUUUCUUCCUAGUGAAAUAUCAUUUUCUAGAAUGUUGUUAACCUCAUCUUAACUAUCAAUCAAGAUCCAAAAAUGAGGAGCAUUUCUU